GACGAACGCUGGCGGCGUGCUUAACACAUGCAAGUCGAACGGAAAGGCCCUGCUUUUGUGGGGUGCUCGAGUGGCGAACGGGUGAGUAACACGUGAGUAACCUGCCCUUGACUUUGGGAUAACUCCAGGAAACUGGGGCUAAUACCGGGUAUGAGCUCCUGCUGCAUGUGGGGGGUUGGAAAGUUUCGGCGGUUGGGGCUGGACUCGCGGCUUAUCAGCUUGUUGGUGGGGUAGUGGCUUACCAAGGGUUUGACGGGUAGCCGGCCUGAGAGGGUGACCGGCCACAUUGGGACUGAGAUACGGACCAGACUGCUACGGGAGGCAGCAGUGGGGAAUAUUGCACAGUGGGCGGAAGCCUGAUGCAGCAACGCCGCGUGCGGGAUGACGGCCUUCGGGUUGUAAACCGCUUUCGCCUGUGACGAAGCGUGAGUGACGGUAAUGGGUAAAGAAGCACCGGCUAACUACGUG
rnacentral:rRNA from 1 species